rnacentral:lncRNA from 10 species
GUCACCAGGCUGGAGUGCAGUGGCGCGAUCUUGGCUCACUGCAACCUCUGCCUUCCGGUUCAAGCGAUUCUCCUGCCUCAGCCUCCCGGGUAGCUAGGACUACAGGUGUGAGCCACCGUGCCCGGCCUCCACUUAUGUUUUUAAAGGUGUUGCUAUAUCUAUAUAUUUUAAAUUUGCAUAUCAUAUCUCUAGAUUCUAGAGAUAAAAUUCCUGUAGAACAGGGGUUGCAAACAUUUUCUGUAAAGAGACAAUAAAUAUGUUAGGCUUUGUGGGCCAUGUGGUCUCUGUAGAAACUACUUAUCUCUGCCAUGGUAAGUGUGAAAACUCCCAUAGGCAAUAUGUAAACAAAUAGGCAUGGCUGUGUUCCAGUACAAUUUUUCUUUCCAAAGACAAGUAAGCCAGAUUUGCCCCUGGGGUAGUUUUUUUGCCAGCCUUUUUUCUAGAGUUGUAAUGAAUAUGAAUC